rnacentral:rRNA from 1 species
CGGCAUGCCUAAUACAUGCAAGUCGAACGAGAAAAGACCUUCGGGUGAGUACUAGUGGCGCACGGGUGAGUAACGCGUGGGUAAGUCUACCAUUCAGUGGGGAACGAACACACCGAAAGGUGUGCUAAUACCGCAUAAGACCAGAGUGUCCUUGGACAUAGGGGUUAAAGGGGGCUUUCGGGCUCUCGCUGAUUGAUGAGCUCGCGUCCCAUUAGCUUGUUGGUGGGGUAAUGGCCUACCAAGGCGACGAUGGGUAGCUGGUCUGAGAGGAUGAUCAGCCACACUGGAACUGAGACACGGUCCAGACUCCUACGGGAGGCAGCAGUAGGGAAUAUUGGACAAUGGGGGAAACCCUGAUCCAGCAAUGCCGCGUGAGUGAUGAAGGUCUAUGGAUCGUAAAGCUCUGUCGUAUAGGAAUAAAUGCCUGUGGUUAAUACCCGCAGGAGCUGAAGGUACUAUACAAGAAAGCACCGGCUAACUACGUG